ACCCCCACCAUCUUAAGGUUUUAUAUUUUAGAAUAAACGCCAAUCUUUCUAAAGUUUGAAAUAUUGCACUUACACCCUAAAAACUUAAUUCUAUUUGUUCGACGACUAUUCUUUUCAGUGUUCCUCUCUGGUGGCAUCUCACCCCCUUUUUGGUGAUUUCCCAACAUAAAAACCACCAAAAAUCAUAUUAACAUGGUUGGAUUUUUAUGCACAAAUUUGUGCAAAAAUCGCAUAGAUCUGUGACAAUUUAUGCAUCGACAGACACAAAAAUCAAUAGGUCUGCGUCGCAUAAAUGUAGAUCACGUUUGUGCGAUGCUGUUAGACCAAGGAAAUAUCAUUUUCUUUAUUUAAAUAAAAAUUUUAAAUAACAAUAUUACCUUUGACUAUAACAACCAAAACUAACGGAUGAAUGGAUAUUUGGAUUCUUAAAAAUUAGCUGGGGACAUUUAAAACUCUAAACCUUGGUAGGAAAAAGAUAUUUGGCCGUUAUUCUUUUGCUCAAAUUGAAAUAUCUUACGGGAUGAUAAACAUGGGUUGCAAAGAAUUCCAUGAAGGCGACGACGCAAAUUUUUCCAAGCACUUGCGAAGGAUCUUUUAUUGAGAAGUUUAUCAGUCAUCUUGCGGGAUAAGAAAGAUGGGUUGCAAAGAAUUCCAUGAAGGCGACAACGUAAAUUCCAGGCACUUGCGAAGGACCUUUCAUUGAGAAGUUUAUCGGUCAAAAUAUUAGAGUGAGUCGAACUUCCUCUUGUAGUUCUGAGACAGGGUUAUUUAAUUAAACCAAGCAUCAAAUUUCAUCUACAGAGUUGUUAUCAUGCUGCACAAGACACACACGGGCAUAAAAUUAUUAUUUAUCUGAUUUAUUUUUAAGUGCAACUGUUGUUAUAAAGACAUGAAUUUAUUGCUCAAGGGUUCAAAUUUCAGCCCCUAAACAAAUAUUUCUUGUCUCACUGCGGUUUCUUGCACUACAAUAGAGGAGAAGAUGAUUAAGUUUACAAAAUUCAUUCUAAAUGACAGUACUCACAAUUGGAGAACAGUGCCAGGAAGAACAGUGCCUGCGCAAGUCCCAGAUACACAAACACGCUUCCUACAGUCCCUGCAUUGACAGCCAGUAGAACCUCAAACAUCCAUUCUGAUUCUCUACAAUGUGGCAUGGUCACCCGUGUUGCAGCAAUAAAAGCAAUCGCCAUGAAUGACACAGCCACCCACACGAACUUCUUACACAAAUCCUUUGCUUCUGUUAAGGACACUGGCUCUAGUGGUUUAUCAUCUUGAAAAUCUGGUUUUUUUAAGGAGGGAACAUCAAGUAAAUCCUUUGUUGACAUUGGUUCCUUGUUUGGUGUUGGCAAGAAACCACAAGAUUUGCUGAUGCGCUUGCGUCGAGACUUGGUGAUUUUGUUGACAUGCUGGAACUUGGUGGUGUAGUCAUAACCUCUGGCUGGUAGCCAAGUUUGAAGUCUAAGGGCAACUCAUGACCAUUGCCUAUAUCAAUCAGACAUUGAAGCAGGCUCCUGUUUUUUAUCUCAAGUAUAUCUUUGGAGUUUUCAAGUGUCGGUUGUUGAGCACUAAUUUGUUGGACCCCUGAGACUGCAAGAUGCAAUAUGGUGUUGCCACAUUGAUCUUUCUUAAGGAGAAGAUCAGAUGAUGUGAAGAAAUUUGCCAGGGACACAAGUGUGUCAUAUUGGUUGAAAUUUACUGCAAGAUGGAACACUGUUUCUCCCUCUUUUGUCAGAUCCUGGAAUGAAAGCAAGGUCUUGAUCAAGCCUCAAAAACAAUCUUGUUAUCUCCAAGUAUCCUCUGCUACAAGCACAGUGUAACGGAGAAUACCCAUUCUUGUUGCUCUUUCGAGCAAAAUUUGGCCGCACCUCCAGUAUGUUCUGAA